UGCCCUAGUAACGGCGAGUGAAGCGGCAACAGCUCAAAUUUGAAAUCUGGCCUUCGGGUCCGAGUUGUAAUUUGUAGAGGAUGCUUUUGGUGAGGUGCCUUCCGAGUUCCCUGGAACGGGACGCCAUAGAGGGUGAGAGCCCCGUCUGGUUGGACACCGAUCCUCUGUAAAGCUCCUUCGACGAGUCGAGUAGUUUGGGAAUGCUGCUCUAAAUGGGAGGUAUAUGUCUUCUAAAGCUAAAUAUUGGCCAGAGACCGAUAGCGCACAAGUAGAGUGAUCGAAAGAUGAAAAGCACUUUGAAAAGAGAGUUAAAAAGUACGUGAAAUUGUUGAAAGGGAAGCGCUCAUGACCAGACUUGGGCUUGGUUGAUCAUCCAGGGUUCUCCCUGGUGCACUCUUCCAGUUCAGGCCAGCAUCAGUUCGCUGUGGGGGAUAAAGGCUUUGGGAAUGUGGCUCCCUCGGGAGUGUUAUAGCCCAUUGUGUAAUACCCUGUGGUGGACUGAGGUUCGCGCAUUCGCAAGGAUGCUGGCGUAAUGGUCAUCAGCGACCCGUCUUGAAACACGGACCAAGGAGUCGUCUUCGUAUGCGAGUGUUCGGGUGUUAAACCCCUACGCGUAAUGAAAGUGAACGCAGGUGAGAGCUUCGGCGCAUCAUCGACCGAUCCUGAUGUUCUCGGAUGGAUUUGAGUAAGAGCAUACGGGGCCGGACCCGAAAGAAGGUGAACUAUGCCUGUAUAGGGUGAAGCCAGAGGAAACUCUGGUGGACUUCGCAGCGGUUCUGACGUGCAAAUCGAUCGUCAAAUAUGGGCAUGGGGGCGAAAG
rnacentral:rRNA from 1 species